UACGGAGGAUGCAAGCGUUAUCCGGAUUCAUUGGGUUUAAAGGGUGCGUAGGCGGGCUAUUAAGUCAGUGGUGAAAUCCUGCAGCUUAACUGCAGAACUGCCGUUGAUACUGAUAGUCUUGAGUUUGGUUAAGGUAGGCGGAAUGUGUAAUGUAGCGGUGAAAUGCUUAGAUAUUACACAGAACACCAAUUGCGAAGGCAGCACACUAAGUCAUUAUUGACGCUGAGGCACGAAAGUGUGGGGAUCAAACAGGAUUA
rnacentral:rRNA from 1 species